AUUGAACGCUGGCGGCAGGCCUAACACAUGCAAGUCGGACGGUAGCACAGAGGAGCUUGCUCCUCGGGUGACGAGUGGCGGACGGGUGAGUAAUGUCUGGGGAUCUGCCCGAUAGAGGGGGAUAACCCCUGGAAACGGUGGCUAAUACCGCAUAACGUCGCAAGACCAAAGAGGGGGACCUUCGGGCCUCUCACUAUCGGAUGAACCCGGAUGGGAUUAGCUAGUAGGCGGGGUAAUGGCCCACCUAGGCGACGAUCCCUAGCUGGUCUGAGAGGAUGAUCAGCCACACUGGAACUGAGACACGGUCCAGACUCCUACGGGAGGCAGCAGUGGGGAAUAUUGCACAAUGGGCGCAAGCCUGAUGCAGCCAUGCCGCGUGUAUGAAGAAGGCCUUCGGGUUGUAAAGUACUUUCAGCGGGGAGGAAGGCGAUAAGGUUAAUAACCUUGUCGAUUGACGUUACCCGCAGAAGAAGCACCGGCUAACUCCGUGCCAGCAGCCGCGGUAA
rnacentral:rRNA from 1 species